rnacentral:rRNA from 1 species
GACGAACGCUGGCGGCGUGCCUAACACAUGCAAGUCGAGCGGAGCUAGUAGCAAUAUUAGCUUAGCGGCGGACGGGUGAGUAACGCGUGGGCAACCUGCCUUCUACAGGGGGAUAACACAGGGAAACUUGUGCUAAUACCGCAUAACAUACUUAAGGGACAUCCCUUGGGUAUCAAAGGAGCAAUCCGGUAGAAGAUGGGCCCGCGUCCGAUUAGGUAGUUGGAGGUGUAACGGACCACCAAGGCGACGAUCGGUAGCCGAACGGAGAGGUUGAUCGGCCACAUUGGGACUGAGAGACGGCCCAGACUCCUACGGGAGGCAGCAGUGGGGAAUAUUGCGCAAUGGGGGAAACCCUGACGCAGCAACGCCGCGUGAAGGAUGAAGGUCUUCGGAUUGUAAACUUCUUUAGUCGGGGACGAAGAAAUGACGGUACCCGAAGAAUAAGCCACGGCUAACUACGUGCCAGCCGCCGCCGUAA